rnacentral:sRNA from 1 species
AACGGCGCCCCCGGAUCCCCUCCUCCCUGGGUGGAUCCUGUGAAGCCCGGAUUCUCCCCAAGUCCGGUCUUCCCGCCCCGAGGGCUCCCCCUGGCCCUCGGGGCAUUUUA